GGGGAAUUUUCCGCAAUGGGCGAAAGCCUGACGGAGCAAUACCGCGUGGGGGAGGAAGGCUCUUGGGUCGUAAACCCCUUUUCUCAGGGAAGAACACAAUGACGGUACCUGAGGAAUCAGCAUCGGCUAACUCCGUGCCAGCAGCCGCGGUAAUACGGAGGAUGCAAGCGUUAUCCGGAAUCAUUGGGCGUAAAGCGUCCGUAGGUGGUGUUUCAAGUCUGCUGUUAAAGCCCGGGGCUCAACCCUGGAGGAGCAGUGGAAACUGGAGUACUGGAGUGCGGUAGGGGUAGAGGGAAUUCCCGGUGUAGCGGUGAAAUGCGUAGAUAUCGGGAAGAACACCAGUGGCGAAAGCGCUCUACUGGACCGUAACUGACACUGAUGGACGAAAGCUAGGGGAGCGAAAGGGAUUAGAUACCCCUG
rnacentral:rRNA from 1 species